UUGGCCCUGAAUCAAGGCCAGCAGUUUGCUGAAGCUGUUGGUUUCAAACAGGAGCCUAAAGAAAUGUCUUUCUAUGGUCUGUUGACCAUUUCAAAACUUUGGAAAUGUAAUGGUCAAUUCAUUAGAAAGAAAUAUAU
rnacentral:snoRNA from 1 species